AUUGAACGCUGGCGGCAUGCCUUACACAUGCAAGUCGAACGGCAGCGGGGACUUCGGUCCGCCGGCGAGUGGCGAACGGGUGAGUAAUGUAUCGGAACGUACCUUUCAGUGGGGGAUAACGUAGCGAAAGUUACGCUAAUACCGCAUAUUCUCUGAGGAGGAAAGCAGGGGACCUUCGGGCCUUGUGCUGAUGGAGCGGCCUAUAUCAGAUUAGCUAGUUGGUGAGGUAAAGGCUCACCAAGGCGACGAUCUGUCGCGGGUCUGAGAGGAUGAUCCGCCACACUGGGACUGAGACACGGCCCAGACUCCUACGGGAGUCAGCAGUGGGGAAUUUUGGACAAUGGGCGCAAGCCUGAUCCAGCCAUGCCUCGUGAGUGAAGAAGGCCUUCGGGUUGUAAAGCUCUUUCGGACGGGAAGAAAUUGGUGGGGCUAAUAUCCCCAUCGGAUGACGGUACCGUAAUAAGAAGCACCGGCUAACUACGUGCCAGCCGCCGCAGUAACAC
rnacentral:rRNA from 1 species